UACGUAGGUGGCAAGCGUUGUCCGGAUUUACUGGGCGUAAAGGGCGUGCAGGCGGUUUGUUAAGUCUAGGGUGAAAGCUCCCGGCUCAACUGGGAGAGGUCCUUGGAUACUGGCAGACUUGAGGAGGGUAGAGGCGUGUGGAAUUCCGGGUGUAGUGGUGAAAUGCGUAGAGAUCCGGAGGAACACCAGUGGCGAAGGCGACACGCUGGGCCGUACCUGACACUGAUGCGCGACAGCAUGGGGAGCAAACAGG
rnacentral:rRNA from 1 species